UCUCUCACUCGAUCUUAUGGUUUGUUCUAGAGAGAGAAAAUGGCUUAAAACCGAUAAAUUUUUUGAGUGUGUGAGGUGAGUGUGGAAGGCUUUUGCGUGGCUUGAUCCUUGCUCUAGGAUCAGUUGUGGAGUGCUAGGAGUGGUGGUAAGACCUUAGUUGACCGUUUGUAACCUUAGGGGAUUGGGCGUUUGCGGGGUGUGGAGGACGAGGCCAGUCGUAGAUUUCCGUUGUUGUUUGCAAGGCGCAAGAUGUUGAUGUUUUCACUCGUUUUGUUUUUCAUGGGUACCCGUUGACUCGUUUGUUUUAUUUUCUGCUGCGUUUAUCUUUAAGGACUUUAGUCGAGUUCCCGACUUUGUAAAAUAAAUAAAAUUAUGUUUGUUUUAAUAAAAUCCCCGUGGAACGCUGA